rnacentral:rRNA from 1 species
UACGUAGGGACCAAGCGUUGUUCGGAUUCAUUGGGCGUAAAGGGUGCGUAGGUGGCAUGGUAAGUCGGGUGUGAAAUCCCGGGGCUCAACCCCGGAACUGCACUCGAUACUGCCGUGCUCGAGUACUGGAGAGGAGACUGGAAUUUACGGUGUAGCAGUGAAAUGCGUAGAUAUCGUAAGGAAGACCGGUGGCGAAGGCUAGUCUCUGGACAGUUACUGACACUGAGGCACGAAGGCCAGGGGAGCAAACGGG